UUAUUAUUAAGAUUUAAAAACGUUUUUAUUAAUUGAGCCAAAAAUAUAUAUAUUUAUUUAUUAACUUGACAAUAAAUAUCUACGUGAAUUAUCAUAAUUUCUAAAUGGAUAUGCUUACUACUAUUUUACAAUGUUGCCCGGAUAAUGAACUGUACUUUCACUUUGAAUGAUCCCGAUUCAAUUCUCGGAUUUCACACUUCCAAAACGUUUUUUCAGAAGAGUUGGGCCCGGACAGUUUACUCCCAAUUUCUGUCAGAUUGCCGAUUUCACCAGGUUAUGGGCGGCCUUUGCUGCUAUAACCUGGUUAUGGCACUGGAAUUCUCCGCCGCUUAGUGCCCAUUAGGUAGAAUGCGGCAUUAAUUCACCCAAGAUAAAAAUAUUUUAUAGACAAAAUAAUUAAAUAUUUAAAGUUAAUUAAAGAAAGCUACAGAUUUCAUUUAAUAUAUGGUAUGUAAAUAUAAUUAUUGCAUCGUUUAAAGUAAAACUGAGGUAUAAAAGCAAUUAUUAAAAUAUAAAAUGAUUUUAAAAAGGUAGUUAAAGAAAAUAUUACCUUGAUCUACAUUCCAGAAUUUAAAUUCUUUCCUUUGACACUACCAGUUUAUAUUUUAUUUCCGUUACUUGCUAUUGUUAAUCAAGUUUGGGUCAAGGAGAACCGUUGUUAAUUCCUCGUCUGAAUGCUAUAAAAACGUAUUGUGAAUAAUAUCUUUAUUUUUCUUUUAAAGAAUAUUAAUGAUGUGGUAAAUUAAACAAGAAGAUAACAAUACUUCUGACAAUUCUGCUGAAUAAUAAUGAAUUCCGAAGAUGGUUAAUAAUAAUAAAGAAAUUAAAAAAAAGUGAAUUUUAAAAAAUUAAAUUACUGAAAUUUUUGCAUAACAAUUAAACUCGUAUAUUUGAAACUCAUUCCUCUAAAUUCAUCAAAAGAAUCCAGGCAUAGUUUACUUUUUUUUUUUUAAUCUCGCUAUUAGUUUUUAUAGUGAGUGAAAAUAGUGAAAUACUGUCAUAAAAAUUAAAAAAAAAAAAAAAAAAUGUAAAACUUGAGAUCAAACAGUAUAAUUAAGAAAUUUAAAAUAUGAAAAAUAACUUAUUAAGUUGCAUACUGUAUAUAUUGACCAGAUGGCCCAAUGAUAAAACCAUCGUCUGUCACCAACAGAAAAUGGAUCUGGAGAAUCCUAUCUCUUCAAAGUUUUCACGGAGGAAUUCGGGUCCAGUUCCUAUAUCUCAAACUUUCAACACAUCGCCCUUUCUGUCACGAAUGUUGGCAGUCCAUUAUGGACUCCGGAAUAGUCCAUUUUAAGAAUUUGCAUAAUAUAGCACAUUAUACAACUACUUGCAAUGUGGCUCAUUCUUCCCUAAUUUACAUAAAUAUGAAUUCAUUAUUUAUCGUGUGACAGCUGCAUAUAUUAUAUUUCAAAGAAAUUAGUAUUAAAUUAUAUUAACAAUAUCUAAAAUACGUAGCAUUGGACUGUGACAUACAAGGUCAAGAAUAUAAAAGUAGAACUCUCGUAUACAAUAUCACUGGAUUUCCAAUUAUUAUUAUUUUUUUAAUUUUAAUUAAUUUAUUAAUGUAGGUUUUCGUUUACAUUUCACUCCGUGUCAGAUAUAUCAAGCUGAUGCAAUUUCCGAG
rnacentral:lncRNA from 1 species